rnacentral:rRNA from 1 species
CGAGUCGAGUUGUUUGGGAAUGCAGCUCUAAGCGGGUGGUAAAUUCCAUCUAAGGCUAAAUACUGGCGAGAGACCGAUAGCGAACAAGUACUGUGAAGGAAAGAUGAAAAGCACUUUGAAAAGAGAGUGAAACAGCACGUGAAAUUGUUGAAAGGGAAGGGUAUUGGGCCCGACAUGGGGAGUGCGCACCGCUGUCUCUUGUAGGCGGCGCUCUGGGCGCUCUCUGGGCCAGCAUCGGUUCUUGCUGCGAGAGAAGUGGCGCCGGAAAGUGGCUCUUCUUCUGUAGGUGACCCUGCGGGAAUACAUCCAGCUGGGACUGAAGCCUGCG